CAUUUCUUUUUUUCUACCAAAAUAUGUUCAAACAAUUUCCCAAAAAUGUUGAAAAUGGGGAAGUUUUCACUGUGAAAAUUUUUUUUUUCCCCACAUUUUCAAACUUUAAAACGGGUCAAUUUUGACCCGCAGGACGACACGAGGGUCAAGGACUGUUUGUUCUCUCCAUGCAGAUGUCUAUCAUUUACUUCCCUGGUUACUUACAUUUAGAUCUUUUGCCAAAUAUGAUGCAAAAUUCUCCAUAAGACUUAUUCUGUAGAGGUCUAUUCAUUUCUCAUUUAUCGUUUCAUUCUGUCCUUAUUAUACUAUUCCACCGGUUUCAGCGAAAUCUGUUGAAUCUUUCUCUGGUUCCACUGGACAGGGAGGUCAGAGGUCAGCGUUUUCAUUAACACUGCUGCUCAGCAUCCCAGCAGCAUCAUGCUGUGAUUCUCACCACUAGCAGAGUCACGAGCGUCCAGACAGAAGCUCAGUCCGGACUUUAGAUAGAAGAUGAGGAGGCUCAGGAAAAACACGUUAAGCUGUUUGCAGCCGUGCAGUUUCUGAUUAUUGAGCAGUUUCUCCUGCAUCCAGGGUGGGAAAGGAGCUCUUUGUGAAAUGAGAUAAGGCUGCUACUGUUUCAUCUUAGUCACUGUUUGUUCCUGACUGGACUCAAACAUCAGCUGCACCGCUGGAUGUCUGUCCUUUGCAGAUUCUGUCACUGAGGAAAUGCACUGUUUAUGUUCAUACCAAAUGCUAAUAGCACAGCUGCUUAUAACACUUGAAUCAGUAAAACCAAUUUUAACUGUAGUAAACAAUUAAAAGAAAUGUAUAGAAUUAGAAUCAGCUAAUGUAGAAAUUGGGAAAAACAUGAAACAAGUGGAUUUUAAGUGAGUCUAAUGUAAUAAAAUUUUAAAAGAGAGUUUUAAAUUUUUUAUUGCAGGUGGUCAGACUGUGGCUCAUAUUAAGAUAUAAAGACGCUACUGGGGCCUCAUAUAAACCUUAUAACAAUCAAAUAAAAAUUUAAAUGUUUAAAUCACCUCUAGAGAUGGAAACCUGAAGGCCCUCUUCUGUUAAAUCCCUUGAGAUUUAAGUAAUUUUGAAACACUUUAUAUAAACACAGAUACAGAAAUGCGGCAACACUGCAGGUCCGAACGUAAUAAACACACAAAUGAGUAUUUGUAAAUGAAUAAAAGAAAACUGGAUGGCUGAUUGUAUGGUCAAAAUUGAGAUUAUUGUGGGAAAAUAAAUCUUGAGUCGCUACUUGAGGACAGUAAACCUUCACUUUGAUGCCGGUUUUAAUCUGCAUCCAGUGAUGAACUCUCCAGGAUCCAGUGUUCACUCUGAACUGACAACACGCUGCUCUUUAAAUGGUACUUAGAGAAACGAAGUGCCACAAUGUGCUGCACAACACAAAAAAAGUCUGCCAGAUUGUCCUAUAACCAUUAAAGCAGUAGUUGUAGGAUUAAUCUAAAAUCCUGGUGGUUUAGCUGAUUCCUGUAAAACCACAAAUUAAACCCAAACUCCGUCCUCCAUGCAGGAAGCAGAGCCAGAGCUUCUGCUGUUUGAGAGAAUGGAUAAUGAGAGCUGCAGUCUGGUGCUCUGACAGGGUUUGGAUUUACAUAAACACUCACAAAACAGGUGAAAAAAUCAUUUUAAAAUGGUCCCAAAUUAGUUCUUUUUCUAUUUAUUAUCCUUUUUCGGCCCAAUUAUCAGGGUAACAAUAUUGCGAGAGCAUUAAAGAUGGUGUAAUUUUUACAAAUGAGGCGUUGAAAAUUAAAAAGAAAAUGCAGUUUAUGAAGCAGAAUAAAGAAAAUGAAUACGAUAAUAAAAAUAAUUGUCAUAUUCACUAAUGAUAUUUUAAUUAUGUAUGACUCAGCUUAUGACAUGUGGUCACAUAUUGUGCAAUUAAGUAUGAUGUGUCCCCCUGAUAAUACAAUCUUUUAUGUUUGUCGAGUCAAACUUUUUAGUAUUCCCAUUAAAAAUAGAUCAUUGUAUUUGUAUUUUAAGAACAAGUGCACCUUUGUCUGCUAUGUAGUGACCACUGAUGGUCCGUGUAUAUUUUGGCAAUUGGAUUUUCCGUUCUGAAACAGGUAUUGAAAAACAAAAAACGAGUGGUUAUUUGAUUUUCGUUUUAAAAUACAAAAAUUAAAAUUGAAAUACAAUGCGUGUUUCCUUUCAUGAUCAAAAAGGGAUAUACGAAAUUUUGAAAAUGCUUUGAUUUUCAUUUUAUAUUUCGAAUAACAAAAAAGUAAAAUCAGUAAGAGACAGAAACGAAAAAAGGUCCGUUUUUUCAUUUUCUGAGACCGGAAGUGGUCAUCAGCAAGUGUGGAGCCAAACAGAGUACAGUGCAUAGACAGUUUUUUUUUUCUCGUUAGUUUUCAUGGUCAAAAUGAGAGAUCAGGUGGGCGAUCUUAAAAUAAAUCAAUAUUGAGUUUUUUAUAGAGCGUUAAAGUUUUGCGAAGCCAGGGGGCGGGGCUACUUGAUUGACAGUCCGGUCUGGAAUGAUUGACAGGUCCUAUGGAGGAAACAGCAGAGACUGCUCUCUAAUUCUGAUAUAAUAACUGUUGGUUUAUUUAUCGGUGGAGCAGCAGAACAUUUUCCACAGACAGUUUUCCUGCCCGUUGGCUUUUUUUUAACCAGUUUUCUGCCUUCGGCUGAUUCUACCAGCAGACACUGAAAGGACUCUGAUAGUUUGGUGUCUCAUAUUCACUGUGAGGAUCUUCUGAGUGAAGCCAGCAGAAGGAAAACCUCAUCUGGAUGUGAAGAAGGAGACUGAAUGGACAACAUCCUCGGUGAACCAUUUCCUGUUUCGCUUUUCACUUACUAAAAAAACGUCAUAGUGUAGCAUGUCGUCCAAAAAACGUCAUAGUAUAGCCUUUAGUCCACAAAACAUUAUGUCCCAGCUGUCUGAAGUAGGUGAGGAGCAACACAAAAACAGUCCAAACACUGGUUUCCAGAAGGUUAGAUGAGUAUUUAUUUGAAAGAGUGAGUUUACAACAACACAACAUGUGAGGGGGUUAAAAGCAAAUGGGUGUUAGUAAAAUAAAAAUAAACAGAACUAAAAGUGAACUUCAUGUUGACAUUGAUGGGCAUUCCAACCAGGAACAAAGUAAAAGAUAAUCAAUACAAAAAAAAUAUCUCUUCCUGUUAACCUCUUAAAACCCAAACACACAUCUACCAACCACUGGAACAGAUCUCCAAAGUUCUGCCGGGCCAGCUCAGCUUCCCCUCAGAAGAAGUGCCGCCACCUGCCAGAUGAAGGAGCCUUUUGAGAGGCAGCUGGCAUCGUGAUUGGACUGUACUUUGGUCUGUUCCAAUCCAGCUUCAGCUCCAGAGACGGCAGGCAGGACGAGUCAACGGAGGCCGGGUGGACGAAGGCAUGCAGCUGAGUACAAUCCAGAAAACAACAGAGGAGGAGUGCAGGGCCAGAACAAGCAGAGUAGCAUCGUAUGUCUCUUAGAAAACAUCAUAGUAUAGCCUUUGCUGUGAAAAAACGCCAUCAUAUACAUCGUAGAUUGUAGAAAUAACAAGUCAAAGGAAAGAGACAUACAUUGUAGAAUUGUAGUAAUUGUGGGCUUACUGAUUUACUGAUUAUCAGUAUUUUAUUUUUUACUGAUUUACGGUAAUAAAUCAAUUUAAAAAUGGUGCUACUUUGGCUCUGAGCCUUUAGCUGUGAUUGCUCUGUCUUCUGGAGUGAUUUGAUUGGUUAUACGUCAUGAAUAAAACUCCUUUAACUUAACAUCUGUAAACAAAACAAAAACGUAUCAACAAAGUCUUAUGUUAGAGUUUGUGUUCUUCUAAGUUUAACUCCAAGAUUUUAAAUACUUUCAUUUACUGCAAAUGAAUAUCUACUCCAAAUGUCUCACUAAUAAUCAUUAUCAGCCUUAAAAACCCACAAAACACCCCUCUGUACUCGACCACACUUAGUACAGUGUGGUUCCCCCUUCUAUAAAUCUGCUUGGAAUCGUCCACUUCCUGUUUGUCAAAGUGGCCUUCUACCUGGACAGGUUUUGUUGGAGCUCAUGCAACAAACAUUUUGGGUAACUUCACUUUAAUAUGGAUGGAUGACACUGAAUUAGAGUCUGUUUUAAUGAGACUGAGUUAAGAUGUGUAGCUCUGUCAUUAAAUAGUAAAUUAUUUCUCAGAAUUCACAGAGAAAAGUCUGAAAUGUUUGCUAGGUUAGCGUCCCACAUGUUCUUUGGCUCAGCUAAAGCUAACUCUCUCCAACUUCUGGAUCUGCUGGAGUUGCUUGUUAAAAUAUCUUGCUGUAGGUGCUGAAGCUCAGAAAGUCUGAGAUGUUGGUUCAAAACUAGCUCAUUCUCAAGUCUUAUCUAAACUGUCCUCUUUUGUUUGAACUUUCCCUAAACUUAGGAGUUAAUGACAGAGCAGCACAUCCAGACUCAGUCUCAUUUAUGUAGAGAUUAAACUUCAGUAUCAUUCAUUGAUGUUAAAGUGCAGUUUUUCAAAUGUUUGUUGCACAUGCUCCCGACCAAAGCAGUCCAGGUGGAAGACGAUGUGAAGAGAAAGCUCCAGAGGAUGAAUAUCACACAUUUACGUUGUAAAUAAAUGUCCUUUAAUUAGACAUUGUCAUGCAAAAGUUGGAUUUCCCUUUAAUGAUGUUCAAAUCUUUGUUGAGUGUUUUGUUGAUGUUGAUUUCUAAAUAUUUUUUGACACUCGGCCCCAAAGAUUAAAACCUUUUACGGCUCACAAGCUGCAACAAUUCACACAUUAUCAACUAUCUUUCUGACUAAACUAAGAUGAAAAGUGAAAAACUGCUGAUUCCUGCAUCAUGAAUGUAAAUCUUUUUGGUUUUUAUGACAGUAAACUGAAUAUACUUGGGUUUGACAUUUUAUAAACCAAAACAAGAAAUGAAUUACUGGAGAAAACAAUCAACAGAUUAAUGGACAAAGAAAAUGUGUUUUGGCUGAAUUACUCCAACAUUACAAGAUACAUACAAUUUUAAUUCAAUUUUAUUUAUAUUUUGCCAAUUACAGGUCAAACUGUCUCAAGACGCUUUAUUUUUAUAGUAAGAAAUUUAAACCUCUUGACUAAUCCAAUUUAUAAUUUGGUUUUUAAGAGAGUAAUGGACAAUUAAAAUAACUUUCUCCACUAAAACUAAUAAACAUGAGGUAAAAUAGAAGGAACAGUUUUAAAUACUGCAGUCCCACAACGACAAGAAUAAAGUUUCUCAACAAAAACUAAAUCUGCUGAUGGAUUUUUUUUCGACAUAGUAUACUAUGGCGUUUUUUGCGCCAAAAUUCAUGAUGAUUUUUUUUUUUCAAAGAAAACCUUUCUGGAGUAUUUUUCACGGCCUACUUUACAUUAUUUCAUUAUAUGGCACCUUUUUACAACAUGUUGAAAAAUUGCAUUUUUUUCCGACAUAGUAUACUAUGGCGUUUUUCUGCGCCAAAAUUCGUGAUGAUUUUUUUUCAAAGAAAACCUUUCUGGAGUGUUUUUCACACCCUCCUUUACAUUAUUUCAUCAUAUGGCACGUUUUUACAACAUGCUGAAAAAUCGAAUUUUUUUUUCGAAAUAGUAUACUAUGGCCUUUUUUUGCGCCAAAAUUCAUUUUUUUUUCAAAGAAAACCUUACCGUAGUGUUUUUCACGGCCUCCUUUACAUUAUUUCAUCAUAUGGCACGUUUUUACAACAUGUUGAAAAAUCGCAUUUUUUUUCGACAUAGUAUACUAUGGCGUUUUUUGCGCCAAAAUUCAUGAUGGUUUUUUUU